rnacentral:rRNA from 1 species
UCGGUGAAACGUUUUAACAGCUGCGGUAUUUUAACUGUACUAAGGUAGCAUAAUAAUUUGCCUUAUAAUUUGAGGCUAGAAUGAAUGGUUUGACGAAGGUUAAUCUGUCUCCACUUUAUUUUUUAGAAAUUAAUUUUCAUAGUGAAAAAGCUUGAAUUUUUUAAGGGGACGAGAAGACCCUACUGAGCUUAUAAUUUUAUUAAAACAUAUAUUCAUAUAUAUUGUGUUAUAUAAAUUUUAAUUGGGGUGAUUAAGGAAUAAUAUUAUUAUUAUAUAUGUAACUUCCUUAGAAAUAUUAUAUUGUUGAAUAAAGUAACCGAUAAAUUAAUAUAAUUAUUAUGUAUUGCUUAUAAUAUAGUUACCAUAGGGAUAACAGCGUAAUUUACUUAGAGAGUUCUUAUUGAAAAGUAAGAUUGCGACCUCGAUGUUGGAUUAAAGUAACCUUAAGGUGCAGAAGCUUUAUGGGGUAAAUCUGUUCGAUUUU